rnacentral:lncRNA from 1 species
GUAUGAGUAAAUAUAUAUAUAAAUAAUCGAUGCAAAUAUAUUUUAAUUUAUCGAAUAAGUUAGAGAUCACAAAAAAGAACAAAAAGAUAUUACAAAUGUUCAUGCAUGAUUGGGUUUACUUUUCAUAUAUUAUAUGAAAGAAGUAUAAUAAUGAAUUAAUUAUAUAGUAAUGACUAAUGAGAAAAAAAAUAUACAUGGAUAAUGGGAUAAUGAUGGAGAAGUAUCUGGUUACCACUAAAUGUUUUUAUUAUGAAAAUAGCUUAAAUGACUAAAAUCAGAACAAAAUGGAGCAAUAUAGAUUCUC